UUAGCCACGUAAUGUCCCCAUUAAAUAAUAAUAACGAAAAAAAAGGCGCAGAAAACUGCGCCUUUUUU
rnacentral:sRNA from 1 species